UGGGGAAUAUUGGACAAUGGGGGCAACCCUGAUCCAGCAAUGCCGCGUGUGUGAAGAAGGUCUUCGGAUUGUAAAGCACUUUCGACGGGGACGAUGAUGACGGUACCCGUAGAAGAAGCCCCGGCUAACUUCGUGCCAGCAGCCGCGGUAAUACGAAGGGGGCUAGCGUUGCUCGGAAUGACUGGGCGUAAAGGGCGUGUAGGCGGUUUACACAGUCAGAUGUGAAAUCCCCGGGCUUAACCUGGGAGCUGCAUUUGAUACGUGUAGACUAGAGUGUGAGAGAGGGUUGUGGAAUUCCCAGUGUAGAGGUGAAAUUCGUAGAUAUUGGGAAGAACACCGGUGGCGAAGGCGGCAACCUGGCUCAUGACUGACGCUGAGGCGCGAAAGCGUGGGGAGCAAACAGGAUUAGAUACCCUGGUAGUCCACGCUGUAAACGAUGUGUGCUAGAUGUUGGGUAACUUUGUUAUUCAGUGUCGCAGUUAACGCGUUAAGCACACCGCCUGGGGGAGUACGGCCGC
rnacentral:rRNA from 1 species